AGCGGUGCGUGUCCACUCUUCCUCUACGGGUCCCUGGCGGCAGCUUCAUGUCUUCUCAUUGCUUUGUUAAUUAUACUGGUAAUAUGCUAUCGAAGACGGAAUCAAACAGAUGCGUAUUUGGCAAAUGAACGAUCGACGUAUUCCGAGAUUCGCGUUAAAGGGAGGGCGUCAGACAAACACACGUCAGGGCAAAGACACGCCAGACCAAAGAUAAGAUCAGCGGUGCUGGAUGACGUGCACUACGCAAGUCUGCAGCUCGAGGAGCAUGGGCGACGGAAAUGAAGACCGGGGCUGGACAGAUUAUUAGAAACAGCUGUGCCAUGUGGCACACACUUCUGUGUAACUGCACUGUCCCUCGCAGCACUGAAUAAUGUGAUAUGCAAUUAGCAGCGCCGCCUUGCAUUAUGUAUGAAUGUAGGCAUUAUACAUUUCUAACAAUAUCACAUAAUUACAAUAAUAUAUGUAAUCCCUGCUUUAAAUAUAAUUGAAAUACGGAA